UGUCUCACUUUAACAGACACAUUUUCAGUUUCAUUUAACAGUCAAUCUUUAUUUGGUGUAACUUUCAAAAAACUACAAACAAUGAUUUUGUUGGUAAAUUGCUUUGAAUGCCAUCAACGACAUUCAUUUUACAUUUUACAACUCCAAGGCAUUAAAAGGCAUUUUACACAUUCCAAACAUCCAAAACAAUUUAACAGUGGUAGUUCUUUAAAACAGCAGAAACGGAAAACAGACUAACGGAGGAUAGGAAGAGUAAGUGUGACGGCUGCAUAGAGCAUCUCGAUUACUGAUUGUCUUCCUACUUGAUUUGCGUGUGUGGACUCACAGUCAUUCCCCCCUCCUCAGUAGUCAUAUAUGUUGCAAUUGUUGCGAGUGAGUCGACAUGAAAUUAAAUUUAAAUGUGGAGUGGGUGUCAGUUUAAGGCGUCACAUCUGAGGGGGAUUCUGUGUAUCUCUCUAAUCCAACAGAUUAUUUCAAGUUUCAGUCAACACAGGAGUUAAUUCAUUAAACAGAAAUGUGUCUUUUCCUUAUUGGCAGGUCGACUUCAUGCGGUGAACUUUUUUUUUUUUUUUUUUUUUUACCAUGGACCAAUAAUCUGUUCUACCCUCAUCCUUACUCUUAAAAAAAGUU